ACUGUAUUUCCUGUUCAUAACCUCAAAGUCUGAGGUGGUAUCUAAUCUAACAUCUUGCAAUCAGUAAAGCACAAGGAUUAAGAAAACAAACACACAAACAAAAUAGAAUGUUGGCGUUGGCUCUGUCACAAUAGGGGGCGGUAGCCUUUUGUUCUUUGAAUAGAAAUUAUUUAAGGAGAGCCAUAUAUAUUAACGACUUCCCAAAUCUUAACCUUAGAUACUCAUUCAGCGCUUGCCUGGACAAGGUUAACAUUCCCAUAAUGACCAGAUUGAUGCAGAUGUUAUUUCCACUGCUGCUGUGGGGCUGGGGAAAACAAACCCUGGGGAAUACAGAAGAUGAAGAUGAAUUUCAAAAUCAGGAGAUGUACAACAUCUUUAAAUGCAAUGAGACUCUACUGUUAGAUUACAUUACCUACUGCUGGGUUCCCUUUCAUGGAGAAAUAGCAAUGCAAAAGGAGAACUGGUGUAACUGGACUAAAGUCACCCGGUACUACAGUGAGAUGUCAGAAUGCGCGGAGUACGUGUCAGAGUUUACAGGCUGCUACUUUCCCAACAUGAUCGUGGAGAAUUUCUUUGUGCAAAUCCACUCUCAGUACUUCUCAAACUGCACCACAGAGGAGGCCGUGUACGCUGACCCACAAGGCGAGCUGGUUCUGGUGCUCACCAUCACCCCAGUCUGCAUCAUCCCCAUUCUGGUGUCUCUCGUCAUCUGGAAAAGCAAAGUCAAAGAAUAAAAGCCGGGAAGCUGGGACACUUUUUUUUGUUGUUUAGAUUAGUUCACUGGCUGGCUUCUCUACCUCCGCUUAUUAAAUUGAAAAUGGUCCUUCAAUUGUGUAACUUACAGAAUCAAAGUUACGAAGUUACACUGUAUGAGCAUUUAAAAAAAUAAAAAAUAAAAACACAUCCGAAUUUGCGUUUGGUACCAGUUAUUAUCACAUCCUCACCCACAGCGUAAUUAAGUAUCUGAAAAUAGGAAAAAUCUGAAUGACCCAAGUUACUAAUAUUUCUCUCUCCUAUUAAUUUGUGCCAGGAAAAAAAAAAAAAAGAACUUAGAUUUCGAACUGAAAUGACAAACAAACAAACAAACAAACAUAAUUACUGUAUUUCCUGUUCAUAACCUCAAAGUCUGAGGUGGUAUCUAAUCUAACAUCUUGCAAUCAGUAAAGCACAAGGAUUAAGAAAACAAACACACAAACAAAAUAGAAUGUUGGCGUUGGCUCUGUCACAAUAGGGGGCGGUAGCCUUUUGUUCUUUGAAUAGAAAUGAUUUAAGGAGAGCCAUAUAUAUUAACGACUUCCCAAAUCUUAACCUUAGAUACUCAUUCAGCGCUUGCCUGGACAAGGUUAACAUUCCCAUAAUGACCAGAUUGAUGCAGAUGUUAUUUCCACUGCUGCUGUGGGGCUGGGGAAAACAAACCCUGGGGAAUACAGAAGACGAAGAUGAAUUUCAAAAUCAGGAGAUGUACAACAUCUUUAAAUGCAAUGAGACUCUACUGUUAGAUUACAUUACCUACUGCUGGGUUCCCUUUCAUGGAGAAAUAGCAAUGCAAAAGGAGAACUGGUGUAACUGGACUAAAGUCACCCGGUACUACAGUGAGAUGUCAGAAUGCGCGGAGUACGUGUCAGAGUUUACAGGCUGCUACUUUCCCAACAUGAUCGUGGAGAAUUUCUUUGUGCAAAUCCACUCUCAGUACUUCUCAAACUGCACCACAGAGGAGGCCGUGUACGCUGACCCACAAGGCGAGCUGGUUCUGGUGCUCACCAUCACCCCAGUCUGCAUCAUCCCCAUUCUGGUGUCUCUCGUCAUCUGGAAAAGCAAAGUCAAAGAAUAAAAGCCGGGAAGCUGGGACACUUUUUUUUGUUGUUUAGAUUAGUUCACUGGCUGGCUUCUCUACCUCCGCUUAUUAAAUUGAAAAUGGUCCUUCAAUUGUGUAACUUACAGAAUCAAAGUUACGAGGUUACACUGUAUGAGCAUUUAAAAAAACAAACAAAAAAAAAAAAAACACGAUGCUCACCCUGUGAGUUAUUGUCACACCCGCUACAAAUUAAAAAAGCAAUGGCGUAGUGGUUAGGGCUCUGGACUCUUGACCGGAGGGUCGUGGGUUCAAUCCCUGGUAGGGGACACUGCUGCUGUACUCUUGAGCAAGGUACUUUUACCUAGAUUGCUCCAGUAAAAACCCAACUGUAUAAAUGGGUAAUUGUAUGUAAAAAUAAUGUGAUUUCUUGUAACAAUUGUCAGUUGCCCUGGAUAAGGGCGUCUGCUAAGAAAUAAAUAAUAAUAAUUAACCAGUUUCACUUUAACAGCAUUGUCACACCUGUGUUCCCUUUACUAACACACACCUGCCUUAACAGGCAGCUUAUUAUGUUGUCUGUUUGUACUGUAUUGUAUUUCCAGGGCAGUGUGGGUGAUCUAAACGUAUAUAGCACAAUUGAACCAGAUUUCAAAAUACAAACAACUCUGAGCUCCAAACACUAUUACUGUACCAAAGCCAGCUAUUGCUAUUGUCUCUACAGAUUUCACCAUGAAACCGCAUAUGAAUUCACUGAGGCUAAGCCUGUUAUCCUUGGUGUAAACUGUUUUCUAUUUAUUUUCCAGAUCCGCAUGUAUGUAAUCAUUGUAUUUUACUUGCAAAUUGGGAGUUGAUUCAAUACAAACAUACAGCACCCCCAAAAAUGCUAUUCUAUGCUGCUAUUCAACAUAAACAAAAAGAACUACACAACUGUGUUUAUUCAAUUAACUAUUAUUUUGAAACACAUCUAUACCACUCCUCCUGAAAGUUUGAUUGAAUUAUUAUUUAUUUCUUAGCAGAAGCCCUUAUCCAGGGCGACUUACAAUUAUUACAAGAUAAAACAUUAUUUUUACAUACAAUUACCCAUUUAUACAGUAGGGUUUUUAUUGGAGCAAUCUAGAUAAAGUACCUUGCUCAAGGGUACAGCAGCAGUGUCCCCCACCUGGGAUUGAACCCACAACCCUCCAGUCAAGAGUCCAGAGCCCUAACCACUACUCCACAGAAUGUUUCCAUAAACUAAAGAAAUUGAUCAAAUCUAUUCAUAAAUGGUUUAAAAAAAAUUAACAGAUUAGGCAGAUUUGGUAAUUCAUAAGUAAUAAUAAAUGCAUACUUACUGUAUAUGGCUGGUUUCACAGACCCUGAUUAUCUCUAAUUGUGAACUACCUAAAUUAACAUUAGUGCUAAUGGGGUUCUGUGAAAGCAGCCAGUGAUAAAUGGGCUAAUUCAAUUAGAUACAUUGAAAUGCAAACAUUAGAGCAGUAGGGUUAGCUUUUUGAGAGAGGGAGGGGUGACAUGCAGCUUAAACCACCCAUCACAGGAAAUAGGAAUGUCCUGUUAUUGAAAAAAAAGAAGAAAAAGAUUUUCUGUAACAAAGGUUUAGACUUAUCUAGUUCACCAGAGGGACAGGAAUUAAAACAACCUUUAAAAUGAGGACCAUGUGCACGGCUUUAAGUCUUUUGUUAAUUCUGCUAUUGGGGAAUGGUGGGCAAGCCUAUAGAAACUCAACAGUUGAAGAUAAUAAUGGAACACUCUUAGAACAGACAACACAAGG